AAUAUGAGUAAAUUCAUUCGUGACAUAUUUUGCAAAUUUUACAUUUAAUAAAACUUCUUGCAAGUCAUAUUGUUAAAUACUUUUGCGAAUAUCAUUUCAAAUGUUAAGCAGAUUAGUGCAAAUAAAUAUCCAACACACAUAAAUAACAAUGGACUUUUAAUAUCUUCGAUUGAUAAAGGUUGAAAUUGCGAUUGCGAUGAUGACAGUAACGAUUCUCUAGGUCGUGAAAGUAAUAAUUUUUCUAUAAUUCCAGCUUCAAACAAACGAAUUACUCUAUUAAAAAUUUACUGUUUUUAAGUAAAGGAAAAUAUUAAUUAAAUUAUUAAUAUAAACAAAUAUAGAAAUUUAUCUUACAUGUUGUUUAUAUUCUUCUUAAAUAUAAAUUUUUUUCUAAUUGGGAUAGCAACCAUCACGGUGCGAAAAUAGUCUUUUGAAAUGACAUAUUUAUGCAUUUCUUCAUUAUUGAUUAAGUGAUGAAUUACGAAUGUAUUCAUUAGACUUCCACAUCUGGAAAGAUUAAUUAAAUCAGCAUAUGAAACUCAUAAUAAACUCUUAACAUGUGAGGUGAAAAAAACUAAUGCAACUAGUAAGACCGAGGAAAACUCCACGAAAAAGUUGGAACCAAAAUGCGAGAAAUAUAACAUAUGAAAAUUGAACUUGAUACUGAGCAAUUUUUUGAACCCCGGUGAAUGGUCGGAUUAGAAAGACAUAACAAUUUCUGUUUAUUAGUCCAUAAACUUUUGUACAUGGUUAGAUAAAUAACAGAUUUAGCCAACUGAUAUUGCUGAAUUAAUCUGAAUUAAUAAUAAUUUAAUAAAAUA